rnacentral:rRNA from 1 species
AUUGAACGCUGGCGGCAGGCCUAACAAAUGCAAGUCGAGCGAGCGGCGGACGGGUGAGUAAUGUCUGGGAAACUGCCUGAUGGAGGGGGAUAACUACUGGAAACGGUAGCUAAUACCGCAUACUACCCGAUGUGCCAACAUGGGAUUAGCUAGUAGGUGGGGUAAUCGCUAACCUCGGUGACGAGCCCUAGCUGGUCUGAGAGGAUGACCAGACACACUGGAACUGAGACACGGUCCAGAAUCCUACGGGAGGCAGCAGUGGGGAAUAUUGCACAAUGGGCGCAAGCCUGAUGCAGCCAUGCCGCGUGUAUGAAGAAGGCCUUCGGGUUGUAAAGUACUUUCAGCGGGGAGGCGUUACUCGCAGAAGAAGCACCGGCUAACUCCGUGCCAGCAGCCGCGGUAAUAC